UACGUAGGCAGCAAGCGUUGUUCGGAAUUACUGGGCGUAAAGAGUGCGUAGGCGGUGCUCUAAGUCUGUUGUGAAAUCUCCCGGCUUAACCGGGAGGGUGCGGCGGAAACUGGAGUGCUUGAGGGUGGGAGAGGUAAGCGGAAUUCCUGGUGUAGCGGUGAAAUGCGUAGAUAUCGUAAGGAAGACCAGUGGCGAAGGCGGGUCUCUGGACAGUUCCUGACACUG
rnacentral:rRNA from 1 species